rnacentral:tRNA from 1 species
UGUGGAUCAGUUGGUAGAUUGCUUGCCUUGCAUCCAGGAGGUCCUGGGUUUGAUCCCCAGCA